rnacentral:rRNA from 1 species
CCUACGGGAGGCAGCAGUGGGGAAUAUUGCGCAAUGGGCGAAAGCCUGACGCAGCGACGCCGCGUGAGGGAUGAAGGUCUUAGGAUCGUAAACCUCUGUCAGCAGGGAAGAACGGUCACUGUGCUAAUCAGUCGUGAAUUGACGGUACCUGCAAAGGAAGCACCGGCUAACUCCGUGCCAGCAGCCGAGGUAAUACGGAGGGUGCGAGCGUUAAUCGGAAUUACUUGGCGUACAGCUCUCGUAGGCGGUAUGUCAAGUCAAGGGUGAAAUCCCCGGGCUCAACGUGGGAACUGCCUUUGAAACUGGCAAACUGGAGUGUGUGAGAGGAUAGUGGAAUUCCAGGUGUAGGAGUGAAAUCCGUAGAUAUCUGGAGGAACAUCAGUGGCGAAGGCGACUAUCUGGCACAUAACUGACGCUGAGGAGCGAAAGCGUGGGUAGCAAACAGGAUUAGAUACCCCGGUAGUC